GCUGAGGCUACUGACGUCUGGCUCUUAAUAAGAGUGUGAGGCUCUGAUCCAGAAACGCAAAGAAAUUCUACGGGAGCAAAAGCUCUCCUGCAGAUCAGAGAAUACAAGCAGAGGCUUGGCGUGUGCACCGGAGGAGGGAAGAGAGCAGUGGGGAUGCAAGGCCUGUCGCUGUCACUCGCCACCCGCCCAAAGGCCCUGCCGCGAAAGAGGAGUAAGGAGCAGCCCUCACCUGCGAGGCCCCAGGGGGCGCUGCCGAAUCACUGACGUCAGUCUGCAGGGGUGCCCCGUGCCAGGUGGACUGGAAGCGGUUUUGGAAGCGUCCCUUUGCAUCUCUGUACCUCUGUAAGGGCCUGGGGACAGCGGUGCAUGUGUGGCUGCCACGAAAGCUUGCGGGUUCACUGGGGACCUCCUUGAAGGGUCAGUGACUUGGGAACCUGCACUCCUGCUGCCAGGUGACGCGGGUAACAGCAGUUCAUCGUCUCACAGCUCUAGAGGCCAGAAGCUGAGGGCCGGGGGUCGGCGGUGUGGCCGUUGUGAGCCUGGCUGGGGAGGAGCUGCGGUCCCUUGGCUGGUAGAUGCCGCCUGUCCCAGCGUCUUCAGCUCCUCUCUGUGUGUGUCUGAGCCCUGAUACCUUCUUUCGACAAAGACAGUGGUCCCAGUGGAGCGGGGCUCUCCCCAGGGACCUCGGUGUCCUUUGAUUCCCUCUGUAAAGCCCUCGUCUCCAAGUACAGUUGCAUCCCAGGCACCGGGGGCUAGGACGUGUUAGGGAGACAUGAGCGUCUGUUUUGGGGGUGUGGGGGUCGUGAUUCCCCACAUAAUAGCGCCUACACCCUUGCUGUCAUUGUCCACAGAGUCCACUUCUGUCUUUAUAUGAUCAUAGUCUGGUCUUUCCACCUUCAGGUUGGUGGCUUUUCUCCUACUUUAUUCUGUGUGGCUUCCAGGUGGAGUUUGCUCUUGUUGCCACUACUGUUUCGGCUUGAGUUUCUCUUGCUUUCAAGUAACAGGAACCAGUUGGACCUUAGUCCUCGGCUCACCUUAUUUUCUGUUCCCAUCUGCGAAGAAGCAAGUUCCCUGCUAUUGACUCUGGCCUUCAUUUCUGGUAGUAUAUGGGGUCCACAGUGAGGCUGGGACAAAGGGCCUGAAGACCAGAUUGCAAGGCGGGUCGGUUAGUCUCUAGAAGGGUGUCCUUGUUUGACAUUCUUGUUUUUUAAGAUUUAUGUAUUUAUUUGGAAGAGCUACAGAAAGAGGGAUGGAGAGGGAGAGAAAGAGGGAGAGGGAGAGGGAGAGAGAGAGAGAGAGAGAGAGAGGUCUUCCAUCCACUGGUUCACUCCCCACAUGACCACAUGGCCAGGACUGAGCCAGGAGCUUCCUCCUGAACUCCAAUGUUGGUAGCAGGGGCCCAAACAUCUGGGCUUUCGCAGGUGCAUUAGCAGAGAGUUGGAUCAAAAGUGGGACAGCCAGGACUCGAGCUGGCGCACAUACGGGAUGCCAGCGUGGCAGGUUGCGACAUUUACCCACUACGCCACAGCACUGGCCCAAGGUUUGUCCUCCUAACUCUGUUAUUGUACAGCUCAUUAUCUUUCAUUAAAUCAAAAUUCUAUGGCCCUGGGUUUUCUUGCUUGAGAAAGCAUGUGUCUAAUAAUGGGAUACUUAGGAAAAUAAAAUGGGCUGGCUAAGUGACUGCAGGUGAAAAGUGAGACAGCACAACACAUUGUUACGUCGCUGUGGUUACUGGCAUUAUUUUAUCUGAAUGGAUCCUUCUACAAAUUUCUUUGACUGCAAGAGGGGUUACUAGACGUUUUAGCCACACUAGAAAUUGGCCAGCCUUACUAAGUACUUAGCCAAAGACAGGAGUAGGGCGCUGUGAUAAUCUGCAUUACGUUUUUACCUUUGUCAACACUUCCUUUAUUUGAGGGAGGUGUGGUGUUGGGGAAAUGUGCUAUUGAGGAAGUAGAAGUGUUUACAACAUGAAGAGUGAACAGGAAUGGUUACUCUUGGCUUCUGAGUGCAGGCAGAUUGAAUUCCUGUCUUUGUCUCAGACGUCCCCCGAAAACCCACAAACACAACAGCGAAAGUGCGUUUAAGGCACUCACCCGCAAGAAUAAAGAGGGUAAGAGGGGAAUUCACCUAUCAGAGCUGACUCCCUUGCAGCUUUGCAAAACGAUGUGGGAUAGGGAAAAGGCUUGUUUCUGCAGUUUUCAAAAAUCUAACAAAUACUGUGCUAUAAAGAACGCGUGAAUUUCUUAAUAUUGGAUGCCACGAAUGUCCCUGUUUAUGUGUGUGUGUCAGUAACAACACACCAGAACAGGAGAAUACACUUGCAUAGGGGCCAGACAGGCCUCCCCUGCCUUUGGGUGCCGGCAGACAUGGCCCUGAGCGAUGGGAGACCCAGAGGCCUGGACUCCUCAGCCAAUUAGGGUCAGACACCCGGUACAGCCGCACGACUCCACCUGCCACGCAGCCCAGGCCGCAGCCCUCUUCCUCCGGAGGUCAACAAGAGCAGCGUUAUUCAGGGCAGGAGACACCUCUGUCGCUUCGGCAGCCACAGACUUGCAGGCUCCCUGGCCUGGAAGCCCAGUCACAAAUGCUUCUGGCAGAUGUCGUGAAGAAAGAGUGUCUGAUGCUGCAUGUUAACUGUGUGUCUUCAUUUGAAAAGAUGAAAACGACUGUCAGGUCGGGGAUGAACCGUAAGUAUAUUUUCUUUUUUAAAAAAACUUUUAUUUAAUAAAUAUAAAUUUUGAAAGUACAACCUUUGGA